GAUGAACGCUGGCGGCGUGCUUAACACAUGCAAGUCGAACGGAGCAUUUAAGCCAGAUUGGGUCGCUUUGAGGUCUUUUAUGACUGAGUGGCGGACGUGUGCGUAACGCGAGGGUAACCUGACUCCUACAGGGGGAUAGCAGCUGGAGACGGCUGGUAAUACCGCAUAGGCGCGCAGUGCCACAUGGUACAGUUGGAAAUGCCCCGGUGGCAUGAGAUCGUGUCGCGUCUGUUUUGCGUGAUGGCGGUGUUACGGCCCAGCAAGGCGACGAAGAGUACCCGAGCGGAGAGCGUGCCCGGCCACAUUGGGACUGCGACACGGCCUAGUAUGCUACGGGAGGGAGCAGUGGAGAAUAUUGCACAAUGGAGGAAACUCUGAUGCAGCGACGCGGGGUGAGUGAAGAAGUAGUUCGCUAUGUAAAGCUCUAUCAGCAGGGAAGAUAGUGACGGUAACGGACAAAGAAGCACCGGCUAAAUACGUG
rnacentral:rRNA from 1 species